rnacentral:rRNA from 1 species
GACAGAGGGUGCAAACGUUGUUCGGAAUUACUGGGCGUAAAGCGCGUGUAGGCGGCCAACUAAGUCGGGCGUGAAAUCCCACGGCUCAACCGUGGAAGUGCACUCGAAACUGGAUGGCUAGAGUCCUGGAGAGGAAGGUGGAAUGCUUGGUGUAGAGGUGAAAUUCGUAGAUAUCAAGCGGAACACCGGUGGCGAAGGCGGCCUUCUGGACAGUGACUGACGCUGAGACGCGAAAAGCGUGGG